GACGAACGCUGGCGGCGUGCUUAACACAUGCAAGUCGAACGCUGAAGCUCAGCUUGCUGGGUGGAUGAGUGGCGAACGGGUGAGUAACACGUGAGUAACCUGCCCUCUUCUUUGGGAUAACGCCCGUAAACGGGUGCUAAUACUGGAUAUUCACUGAUUCUCGCAUGGGGGUUGGUGGAAAGGUUUUUUCUGGUGGGGGAUGGGCUCGCGGCCUAUCAGCUUGUUGGUGGGGUGAUGGCCUACCAAGGCUUUGACGGGUAGCCGGCCUGAGAGGGUGACCGGUCACAUUGGGACUGAGAUACGGCCCAGACUCCUACGGGAGGCAGCAGUGGGGAAUAUUGCACAAUGGGCGAAAGCCUGAUGCAGCGACGCCGCGUGAGGGAUGGAGGCCUUCGGGUUGUAAACCUCUUUCGCUCAUGGUCAAGCCGCAGCUUUGGGUUGUGGUGAGGGUAGUGGGUAAAGAAGCGCCGGCUAACUACGUG
rnacentral:rRNA from 1 species